CGGAGGCGACCGCGGGACGCGGCGCGCGCUUUGGGCACAGCCCAAAACGGGACGGCGGUCACGUGGUCCGGCCAGCUGCUGCCUUAUUUAGAAGGAGCGUGUAAAAACGGGGCCGGCGGUCACCGGAGAGCGAUGGCAGCGCCGUGAGCUGCAGGCAGGAAGUUUUCACGAGUGCCGGACGAUGCCGGCCGGGCCGGUCCCGGUAACCGGUGGCCGGGGUUGCCAGGUCUUCGUCCGGGAAACGCGCAAAAAAAAAAGAAAAGGAAGAAACAUGUCCAACGCUGGCCGAAACUGAGUAGUCAGGCGCAAAUCACAGCGACGGCACUUCCACAGACACCAAUGAAAGGCACAAACCACACUUUACUGGGUGGAAAUCAUAAGCAAACGCAAGUGACCGAUCGAAGAACUUUAUCGAUCACAGUACAGUUUUUGACCAGAACGACUGCUGUUGCCAAACACUGCAGCUAUGAUGUCUUUUCGGCAUCCUGUUCGUGACCGUCGGCCCGAGGCAGUGGUUACGGAUCUUUCAUUUUCUAACAGAGGGACUGAACGAGCGAGUACCCCACCCGCCGUGCGGUUCGUGGACGCGGCCAGUUCGGCGUGAAACGCGCGGUCCUGGCAUCCCCGCGCUGGUUGGCUGUGUGCAGGAUGCGUGUCCCGCUGGGAAUGCCAGAGUGUCAGCACACCACGCACCAAGAACCGUGUACCGAGAACCGAGUACCGUGUACCGAGCACCGGUACCGAGCACCGAGAACCGAGCACCGCACAACGAGAACCGAGCACCCCUCACGACGAACCGAGCACCGUGUUCACCGAGAACCGAGCACCGCGCAACCCGAAACGUUAUCCGAGAACCGGCCACAGAGGGGUGGACAGAAAACUUUUCAGCACACGGGACGUCAGGGGGGUCCAGACCACAGACAAGCCGUCGCUCAACUCCAGCCGCGAGGGGUUCGAAGCGCUCCCGGGGGGCCCAGAGGGAACGACGCGGCGGCCCCGGCGUAAUGAGCAGUGGGCGUCAGCGCGAUCUUCUGACCUGCAGCAUCUGCAGACGCGGUCGCCAGUUCGGGCUGGGUGACCUCCUCUUCUAUACUUCUACAAGAUGGG
ensembl:lncRNA